GCGAGUAUAGUUCAAGGGCUAGAAUGCCAGCCUUCCAAGCUGGAAAUGAGGGUUCGAAUCCCUCUACUCGCACCA
rnacentral:tRNA from 1 species